UCAAGAACAUCAAUUUUUUUAGUUUUCAUAGCUAAGUUUUAGCUCUUUGGUUCUUCUUCUUGUGAGAAGAAUAAUUAAUUUUGGUUGCGCUUCCAUUUUGAAAACACAUAAUAGCGGAGCGGAUCAUCGAAUGAUUUUCUUCCAUAAUAACAAGUUCUUUGGCGUGUGAUUUUCUUCUUCAAUUUGUGAAUAUUCGUCUCAAGCACCAGGAACAGAAAACUGCAGCAAUGGGCUACAAAAGUCAAAUAGGGCAAGUAAAAAACAAAAGGACGAGCAGGAUCAUUUGGAGCCAAAAGGCCUUUUGACAACAUUUACAGAUGCUAAGAAGAAGGAGAAAACUGGAAACAUAAUCAAGUGCACAUUGGGAUCAUUAUUUAUUUCUCUCAAGGUUCGAAGAUGGAUUUAGUUGCCACAAAAUAUAUGCACCAUCACAUUUACCAGAGACAUUGAACCAACAAAGAUGGUGUUAGAGAGUGUAUCCAACAGUAACGAAUUUGUGUAUACGAGGAUGGACUUAGUCGCCGCCAAAAAUAUGCACAGCGCAUUUACCAAUAACAUGAGCGCUCUAAGAUGGUGACUGAGUGGAAUAGAUGAGCACAUAAAGAUGGUACUCACACCAAUGAAUUUGUGGCAGUCAAAUGUAUGUACUUUUUGUUAGUAUGUAUUUAAUGUAUAA